AAAUUGAAGAGUUUGAUCAUGGCUCAGAUUGAACGCUGGCGGCAGGCCUAACACAUGCAAGUCGAACGGUAACAGGAAGCAGCUUGCUGUUUCGCUGACGAGUGGCGGACGGGUGAGUAAUGUCUGGGAAACUGCCUGAUGGAGGGGGAUAACUACUGGAAACGGUAGCUAAUACCGCAUAACGUCGCAAGACCAAAGAGGGGGACCUUCGGGCCUCUUGCCAUCGGAUGUGCCCAGAUGGGAUUAGCUUGUUGGUGGGGUAACGGCUCACCAAGGCGACGAUCCCUAGCUGGUCUGAGAGGAUGACCAGCCACACUGGAACUGAGACACGGUCCAGACUCCUACGGGAGGCAGCAGUGGGGAAUAUUGCACAAUGGGCGCAAGCCUGAUGCAGCCAUGCCGCGUGUAUGAAGAAGGCCUUCGGGUUGUAAAGUACUUUCAGCGGGGAGGAAGGGAGUAAAGUUAAUACCUUUACUCAUUGACGUUACCCGCAGAAGAAGCACCGGCUAACUCCGUGCCAGCAGCCGCGGUAAUACGGAGGGUGCAAGCGUUAAUCGGAAUUACUGGGCGUAAAGCGCACGCAGGCGGUUUGUUAAGUCAGAUGUGAAAUCCCCGGGCUCAACCUGGGAACUGCAUCUGAUACUGGCAAGCUUGAGUCUCGUAGAGGGGGGUAGAAUUCCAGGUGUAGCGGUGAAAUGCGUAGAGAUCUGGAGGAAUACCGGUGGCGAAGGCGGCCCCCUGGACGAAGACUGACGCUCAGGUGCGAAAGCGUGGGGAGCAAACAGGAUUAGAUACCCUGGUAGUCCACGCCGUAAACGAUGUCGACUUGGAGGUUGUGCCCUUGAGGCGUGGCUUCCGGAGCUAACGCGUUAAGUCGACCGCCUGGGGAGUACGGCCGCAAGGUUAAAACUCAAAUGAAUUGACGGGGGCCCGCACAAGCGGUGGAGCAUGUGGUUUAAUUCGAUGCAACGCGAAGAACCUUACCUGGUCUUGACAUCCACAGAACUUUCCAGAGAUGGAUUGGUGCCUUCGGGAACUGUGAGACAGGUGCUGCAUGGCUGUCGUCAGCUCGUGUUGUGAAAUGUUGGGUUAAGUCCCGCAACGAGCGCAACCCUUAUCCUUUGUUGCCAGCGGUCCGGCCGGGAACUCAAAGGAGACUGCCAGUGAUAAACUGGAGGAAGGUGGGGAUGACGUCAAGUCAUCAUGGCCCUUACGACCAGGGCUACACACGUGCUACAAUGGCGCAUACAAAGAGAAGCGACCUCGCGAGAGCAAGCGGACCUCAUAAAGUGCGUCGUAGUCCGGAUUGGAGUCUGCAACUCGACUCCAUGAAGUCGGAAUCGCUAGUAAUCGUGGAUCAGAAUGCCACGGUGAAUACGUUCCCGGGCCUUGUACACACCGCCCGUCACACCAUGGGAGUGGGUUGCAAAAGAAGUAGGUAGCUUAACCUUCGGGAGGGCGCUUACCACUUUGUGAUUCAUGACUGGGGUGAAGUCGUAACAAGGUAACCGUAGGGGAACCUGCGGUUGGAUCACCUCCUUACCUUAAAGAAGC
rnacentral:rRNA from 1 species